AUAGCUGGUACUAGUCAAUGCAUCAGGCAUUUGUUAGUUUGUGAGGAAAGAGCCAAGGCCAAUGAGUUUCUCGACUCGGUUAAAUCAGCCAUGCCACAACCUGAUCCAAACAGUGUAGAAAAAUGGAAAAAUGACCCCGACAGAGCACAUUGGGAGUUGAUGAGGAUGAUUGUCGUUCAUGAAUUGCCAUUCUCCAUAGUGGAAUAUGAUGGGUUUAGGCGAUUUGUGCAUAGUCUGAAUCCAACAUUUGAGGUGGUGUCUAGGACGACAAUAACACUUGAUUGCCUCCUUCUAUUUGAUGAACAAAGGACAAAGCUUCGAGAGGCUAUGCAGAACUUAAUCUCCCGUGUCUCUUUAACCGCCGACAUGUGGACUUCAAGUCAACUCAAGAGCCGUGGAUAAUAUCAGGGAAAGCAUCAAGUUUGUUAGAAGCUCCCCCACUCGGAAACAGAAAUUUAAGGAAAUAGUUGCACAAGAAGGCAUUGCUUGCAAAAGGAGCCUAUCUCUGGACGUCCUUACACGGUGGAAUUCAACGCAUUUGAUGAUCAAAAUAGCCCUGGAGUAUAGGAGAGCAUUCGCCGCUAUGAAGUUGCAGGCACCACAUUUACAUGUCAACCCACAAAUGUUGAAUGGGAAACGGCAGAAUCUGUUUGCAGCUUGUUAGAGGUUUUCCUCGAUGCAACUAUGGUGGUGUCCGGUACAUUAUAUCCAACAUCUCAUUUGUAUUUCCACGAACAUUGGAAAAUUCAUCUAAUAUUGCAAAGAGAGACCAAACAUAAGGAUAUUGUCAUCAAAUCCAUGGUUGAAGCAAUGCAAGAAAAAGUUCAUGAAGUAUUGGAAGCUGUCAUUCUUGACCAUUUGUCUUCCGGUCAUACUCGACCCCAGGUACAAGUUUAAAUUCUUGGAGUUCUGCUUAAAAUCUGGACUUGAAAGUGAUGCAACAAGGUAUCUUGCUAAAGUGAAGAGAACAUUCAAAGAUCUAUUUGUUGAAUAUUCUAUGCAUGAGGGUGAGUCAAAUAUGGGAAAUGAUCAAGGAACCAACAAUGUUGGUACAAGUAUUGAUAACCCAUGGGAUCAAUGGAACAAACAAGUUAAGCAAAAUCAAGAAAAUCGAGCAAAGCUGAGUGAACUUGAUAUUUACCUAAAAGAUGAUGUUUGCCCGCAAGAAGAUGGCUUCGACAUACUAUGUUGGUGGUCCAAUAAUGCACACAAGUAUCCCAUAGUAUCUCGGAUAGCAAAGGAUGUAUUGGCUGCACCUGCAUCUAGUGUAGCAUCAGAGUCGGCCUUCUCCACUGGACGAAGAAUACUCAAUGACUAUAGGACCAGAUUGCUUCCUACCACUGUAGAGGCAUUAAUCUGUCUGCAAGACUGGAUGCGACCUCGCGGUAACAAACUAUGUUUUUAGUGAUAUUUAGCAUUUUUUGGUGUUAUGAUGAUAAAUCUUUAACAUUUUUUUCUCUCAUUACGGGAACUAAUCAUGUUGGCACGAUAAUAAAUGAUGUUAUUUAUAGAACAAAUGGCGAUGUUGAUGCUCAUUGAUUGCAACAUUAGAACCUCCGUUCAGUAUAUUUGGAGACCCUCGGCAUCAGUAGCAGUAUAUUUGGAGACCCUCGGCACCGGCAUCCGCAGCAGUAUUAAGCCCAGAAGAUCAAGCUUUUUGUACAAGUGAUGAAGCAUCUGAAGCUUUUUGUAUAUUAUCAGUCACUUUCAUAUCAGGAGUCUCCUGAUUUAGCUAUAGUAGUUAAUUGAAUUCUUGCUAUCUUGUUGAAUUUAGCUGUAGUAAUUCAUGGCACUUACCUUUUGCAGUAAUAUGUUUUAACAUUGUUGAGUUUA